UACGGGGGGGGGCAAGCGUUGUUCGGAAUUACUGGGCGUAAAGGGCUCGUAGGCGGUUUGUUAAGUCAUGUGUGAAAUCCCUCGGCUCAACCGGGGAACGACGCAUGAAACUGGCAGCUAGAGUACCAAAGAGGGGGGUGGAAUUCCCGGUGUAGCGGUGAAAUGCGUAGAUAAUCGGGAGGAACACCUGUGGCGAAGGCGGCCCCCUGGUUGGAUACGUGACGCUGAGACGGCGAAAAGCG
rnacentral:rRNA from 1 species